UCUAAAAGGUGUUGGGUUUGGCUGGGCAGCGAGAUCCAAUGCUAUUAGGUCUUGCUUGGGGGUUGGCUGCCCAGCUAGACCCACCAAUCUUGGAUC
rnacentral:pre_miRNA from 13 species